rnacentral:snRNA from 1 species
AUAUUUGCCUGGCAGGGAAGACGGUAUCUUCACAAAGGUGGUUCACCCAGGUUGAGGUUUGGCCAUUGCACUCCUGUACUGACCCCUGCGAAUUCCCCAAAUGUUGGAUUCUCAACUGCUACAUUUAAUUUC